rnacentral:rRNA from 1 species
AGUAACGGCGAGUGAAGCGGCAACAGCUCAAAUUUGAAAUCUGGCCCUUUCGGGGUCCGAGUUGUAAUUUGGAGAGGAUGCUUCGGGUGUGGCCCCGGUCUAAGUUCCUUGGAACAGGACGUCACAGAGGGUGAGAAUCCCGUACGUGCCCGGUGGCCGCCCCCGUGUGAAGCUCCUUCGAC